CAAAACCUACUGUCUCAUGCUUUAGUCAUUAGAUAGUUGUGAUUUCCCAAAUUUAGUGAUCAGACAGAGUUAGUCUCUCCCUAAAUAUUGCUAAGGUACAUAUUUUCUUUCUUUGGUGACAAAUUAUCUAAUAUAAAGAGAGACAUGUAUGUGUCUUGGUGCUAGUGCCACUAAUAACUUACCAAAUAUACUUAAGCAAAUCACUUAGCAUUUUUGAGCCUCAGUUAUCCUAUCUCAAGAGAAGAGUAAGUAUUUGAAUGCCAAGGUUUGUUAAAUGCUUUGAAUUCCUUGCAGAAAAUAUGGUACCUGACUAUUAUUAUUAAUAACAACAAAAUAAUUUAUAAUGGAUUGCCAUAAUCCUCUAGUAAUCAUUCAUGUUGAAAGGGUAAAUGGAUAUUUAGACUAGGGAGAAUGUGUUACUCAAACUACAAGAUUCUCCUUAUGGACCAUGGAUUUUGCAUUCUUUUUUUAACAUCAAGGACGUUUUUUUAGUGGUAAAAAGAAAGUCAUUUAUUCUUUAGUGUUUCUUUCUCUAACUAAGGGAUAGAAAUCCCUUUCCCUGCCCCCCCACAAAAAAAAAAGAAAAGAGCACAUAUAAAUAGUGACUAGGUAAAACUUUAUAAGGGAAAAAAAUUCACUCAGGCCAAGACCUCAUUUUCAAACUAAAGUGAACUGUUAUGACAGUUAUAAAGACCGGUAAAAGGGGCAUUAUAAUGGAAAGCCUGACAGAGCCUUUAACUACUGUAUCAUACUCCAGAUUUGAAGUUAGGGAAUGAAGUCUACAAGUUAAUAGUCAUAUGUUUUGUUCAACAGUCAAGACUAUAUUCAGUGGAUCAGAACCUUGUUGCUGGUGACAAGGGUGGUGAAGUCUAAAAGUCUCUGUCAAAUAUACCAUCAAGCAAGCCUAUUUCUGGCAUCUGUGACCUGAGAAUACCACUGUCAGUAAAUUUGUCAGUGAUUCCCAGAGUCAGACACACAAUUCCUUUUGCCUCACUAUGCCAAUAUUGUUUUUUGUCUUGUCCCU
rnacentral:lncRNA from 1 species